rnacentral:siRNA from 1 species
CAUUCGCCGUGGGUCCCACCCGCC